UGGGGUGUGUGGGAGAGGCGCCCCCCCCCGGGGAGGGGGCCCGUGGGCUAUAUUUACUCAACCCGGGAAACCUACCGGUCCCAGACAUAGUAAGGAUUGACAGAUUGAUAGCUCUUUCUGAUUCUAUGGGUGUGUGCAUGGCCGUUCUUAGUUGGUGGAGUGAUUUGUCUGGUUAAUUCCGAUAACGAACGAGACUUUAACCUGCUAAUUAGUCGUCCUCAUUUUAUGGGGUAUGACUUCUUAGAGGGACUAUGCAUAUCAAGUGCAUGGAAGUUUGAGGCAAUAACAGGCCAGUGAUGCCCUUAUAUGUCCUGGGCUGCACGCGUGCUACACUGAUGCAUACAACAAGUGCCUAACCAGACAUGGUAUGGCAAUCUCGAAUAUGCAUCGUGAUGGGGUUGGUCUUUGCAAUUAUAGAUCUUGAACGAGGAAUUCCUAGUAAGUGCAAGUCAUCAUCUUGCAUUGAUUAUGAUCCUUGCCCUUUGUACACACCGCCCGUCGCUCCUACCGAUACCGGGUGAUCCGGUGAACCUUUUGGACCUGCAAGGGGAAGAUAAGUAAACCAUAUCACCUAGAGGAAGGAGAAGUCGUAACAAGGUUUCCGUAGGUGAACCUGCAGAAGGAUCAUA
rnacentral:rRNA from 1 species